rnacentral:lncRNA from 1 species
GUUUGCUCUUUGAGUAGAUUUCCCCCCAGCUUGCUGUGAGCCAAGAACCUGGGGAAGGAAGUUUCUCUUUUUAUUACAGAAAGAAAAACUUGACAUAAUAUUUUCUGGUUUGCUUAGAACUUCUUUCUGAUUCCUUCUGUAUUUGAUUUUCAUUCUCAGCUACUGGAGAAAAUAGACAUCACCUGGAAUAAAAAGAUGCUGAGAAGUACUGGCUUCUGCACCACUAGUGAGAGACAGUACCCAAAGAGGGAGCGCUAUGCCAAGAUUGAGAUUUCUCUGAAAGUCUGUGACUCUGCAGACUGACUCCGAGAUACCUUGAUCCAUGAAAUAUGCCAUACAGCCUCCUGGCUGAUUGAUGGUAUUGGAGAUUCUCGUGGUGAUACAUGGAAGUAUUAUGCCAGCAAAUCCAACAAGGAUUGGCCGCUACACCAGAUCGUUGAAAACUGAACGCUUUAUCUGUGUUGUAUGCAAGAGGCCUCUGGUCUUGCUGCCAUUAACUCGGAAAGAUGGAACCCCCAUCCAGCCCUAUGUGAGACCAUUUGGCAAAUAUGUGCAAGAGAAUUAUAGAAAGGUAUUACAGGAGACAGCAGGGAUCAGCCAUGGGGAUGUGAUGAAAAGGCUCAGCAAGGAUUAUACUGCCAGUAAACAAAAGAAAAAUCCUUAAGGUCAUUUUAGAAUAUAUUUCUGUUAGCUGAGUCCUUUACUGACAAGAAGUUGUGGAAACGUUUCUGUAAAGUUAUUAAUAUUAUAGUUUAAAUAUAUAUUUUUAGAUUCAUUUUAUAAUGAUAAUUAUUUUUAAACAAAGGUUUUAUUGUACCCUUGUGAAUACUCUGAAGGGCUUUUGAUCCACCUUGGGUCUUAGUUUUACUGCAUAGUUUUAACAUAUAGAACAAAACAGGAAAAAAAAAAUGAGUUUUCAAGAGUGGCAAGUUGAGAGAAUGAAGAUAAUGCUGAAAUGGGGCCAGGGAUUUAGCUCAGUGGUGCUGCUGCCUGCCUCACAAGCACAAGGUCCUGAGUUCGACCCCUGGUACCAAAACAAACAAACAAACAAACAAAAAUAACUUGUGAAAAGAGAGUAAGUUUUAAAGACAGCACUUCAAAGCCAGGGCUGUUGCAUUAUGUAACUUGUUCUACCUGCCUACAUAUAACACAAACAUGUUUCAGGAAUUCAGUUGCUGAUGACAUUGAGUGAAACUGAGCCAUGUACUUGUUCAGAAAAAUAAAUAAAUAAAAUGUUGGUCUUUGUAUCUCACUUAUUAGUAAAGUUAUUUAUUGUUUUUCUCUUAUUUCUGUGACUGCUCAUGAGGGCUUCAGCCAUGAUAUCCAGGAUGUGGACUGGUAUGUAUCACAAUUGUAUUAGUUUCCUUUAGCUGCCACAACAAAGUACCAUAAACCUAGUGGCUUAAAAUAACACAAAUAUAUUAUAGUACAGUUCUGGAUAUCAGAAGUCUGAGACGAGUCACUUUAGACUAAAAUCAAGGUGUUGACAAGGUUGCAUUCCUCUCUGGAAGCUCUAGGGGAGAAUCUAUUUCCUUGUCUUUUCCAGCUUCUGGAAGCCACCUACAUUCCUUUGUUCACAGCCCCUUCUUCCAUCUUCAAAGCCAGCAGCAGCAUCUCUUUCUGACUCUCUUUCCCCCUUUACCCCCCUCUUUCACUCUUAAAGACCCUUAUAAUUACAUUAAGUCUGCAUAGAUAAUCCAGGAGAAUCUGUUUUGUUUUCUGAGACAGGGUCUCAAUAUGUAUUCUAGGCUGGCCUUGAACUCACUACAUAGCCCAGGCUGGCCUCAAACUUGUGGAAAUCCUCCAGUCUCAGCCUACUGAACGCUAGGAUUACAGGUGUUUACUACCAUCCCCAGCUCAAUAGAGAAUCUUCUUAAAGUCAGCUAAUUAGCAAACUCAGUUCCCCUCUGCCAUGUAAGUUAACCUAUUUACAAACUUUGGGUAUUGGAGUAUGGAUGACAGGGAGGCCAAUUUUUUGGCCUGCCACAAAUAUCUUUACUAGUCUAGCAUUAUUAUUAUUAUUAUUAUUAUUUUGGUACUGGGGAUCAAACUCAGGUCCUUGCGCUUACGCAGCAGAUGGUGAAACCACUGAGCUAAAUCCCCGGCCAGUCUAGCAUUAUUGACGUUUUAUAGGCAAGAUCUGUUAUUCUGAUAAUUUCUUUCAUCUUGCAGAAGAACUCCUAACUAUGAGGCUAGAUGUGAUUGUAGAUGUAUGUAUAUAGGGUUAGGAAGAGCUUCCUCAGCUAACUGCUUGGAUUUCUUCCCUCCGUCUCUGCCUCUGGCCAUACCUGUAGUCUCAGCAAGGGCUCAGCUACCCUGUCAAACUGGGUCAUGUGAAUUCAAGAUGAGGAACUGACAGUGCAGUGGAUCUGUGCUUUCACCUUUGGCCUUAACUCAAUGGCCCUAUCAAUGUGUUCUUCCAAGAAGCUCCAGUUAUUUCCUCCACUCACUUCAACCCAAGCGAUAGCCAUGGAAAAAUGCUCUCUAAAGCCCACCUCCAGGUGGACUAUGUGUGCAUUAAUGACUGCUGGCAAGUCAUCUGGCCUUGUUGCUUUUCUUUAAGACCAUUGGCAUUUCUCUAGAAAGAACUUCCCUCAGCUCUCAUGUUACCUGAAUAGCAUACAGCCUUCUGACUGGUCUGUGACCCCAAACUACCUUUUGGUCUUAUUUUCAACCCUGCCCCUACCUGAACACUUAACUCUAGCCAUGUGGGACCAUUUAUGUUUUCCUCCAUAAGAAGCCAGGAAUGGUUGGCAUAUGCCUGUAAUCCCAGCACUCUGGGAGGCUGAAGCAAGAGGAGUACAAGUAUGAGCCCAGCGUGGGCAACUUAGCAAGAUCUUGUCAAAAAUAACAAAAGAGCUGGGGAUGUAACUCAGUGUGAAGACUCUGGGUUCAAUCACACACACAUAAAAACUACACACACAUAAAAAAUUGACUUCAGUCUUGCCACCUUUGCCACUGCCCUCCCUGAUGCCUGAAAAUACUCUUUUCUCUCUACUCUUGCAUAUACCACUUGGCCUUUAUUUUUCUAGGAAGCCUUCCCAAAUGGCUCCAGCCUUCAUGCUCUGAGGCCUGGAUUUACUAUGUUCCAUUCCUUUGCCUCAUGUCAUAGAUUGCUUGGUACUGCUAGUUCUUACUGAGGUAGGAAAAUGAGGCCCGACACUAUCCUUUUCCCGUUGAUGGCCAGACGAGGUGUGAUUUCUGAGGGUGUCUCAGAGGGUGGCCAGGGACAACUAGCUCCAGCAUCUUCCUGCUAUCUCUGUGGGUUGCCUCAACCACCCUCUAGGCCUUAGCUUGCUUCAGAGCCCAAGGCUUGUCCAACAAUUGUGAUGCCCCUUCCCCACGUGAGGCUGCUCAGGUGCUGCUGCUGCCUCUCAGGAGUGGCUAGAGGACCAUGGCUAACAGGACGAAAGUUGCAGGUGGACUGAGCACCGCUAUUGUCCCCCAAAUCCCCAAACCCUGUUGGGCCAUGUUCGGCACUGCUGCCACACCUGGAAACUGAAAACAGCUGCGGUCAUGACUUCAGGGAGCUGUCAGUCAAGCAGCAGCUUCUCCUAUAGUUUCGCCAAGCUGUCACCAUGACAGCAAAGGCUGUCCUGGAUACCCAACAGCCAAAUCCCUCAUCUGGGAGAUAUUUGCCUUGACUGCAAUAGGUUUCAGACACAGACCUGUCCAAGAUGACUGCCCUGCCACCUCCAGAUGACCUUGCUUCCCUCUCCUACUACUUGAAAAUUCCCAAAUUAGAUCAAUGAAAUGCUUAGACUACUCCUAAGUGUCAUUCCCUCACUUACCUUGGGUCAGUCCAAGAGGCUCUCUCCUGUGCACUUUCUCCUGUGCUGCAGCACAGACCCCAAUAAAAGCUUCACUCAGGUGAUCUUACUGUCUACUUGUGAUUUUUUUGGUCAG